rnacentral:rRNA from 1 species
UACGUAGGGAGCAAGCGUUGUCCGGAAUCAUUGGGCGUAAAGCGCGCGUAGGCGGCCCGAUAAGUCCGCUGUAAAAGUCAACGGCCCAACUGUUGAAAGCCGGUGGAUACUGUCGGGCUAGAGUACGGAAGAGGCAAGUGGAAUUCCUGGUGUAGCGGUGGAAUGCGCAGAUAUCAGGAGGAACACCCAUAGCGAAGGCAGCUUGCUGGGACGUUACUGACGCUAAGGCGCGAAAGCGUGGGGAGCGAACAGG